CCUACGGGUGGCAGCAGUGGGGAAUAUUGGACAAUGGGGGGAACCCUGAUCCAGCCAUGCCGCGUGUGUGAAGAAGGCCCUCGGGUUGUAAAGCACUUUCAGUGAGGAAGAACGCCUGGUGGUUAAUACCCAUCAGGAAAGACAUCACUCACAGAAGAAGCACUGGCUAACUCCGUGCCAGCAGCCGCGGUAAUACGGAGGGUGCGAGCGUUAAUCGGAAUUACUGGGCGUAAAGCGCGCGUAGGUGGCUUGAUAAGCCGGUUGUGAAAGCCCCGGGCUCAACCUGGGAACGGCAUCCGGAACUGUCAUGCUAGAGUGCAGGAGAGGAAGGUAGAAUUCCCGGUGUAGCGGUGAAAUGCGUAGAGAUCGGGAGGAAUACCAGUGGCGAAGGCGGCCUUCUGGACUGACACUGACACUGAGGUGCGAAAGCGUGGGUAGCAAACAGGAUUAGAUACCCCAGUAGUC
rnacentral:rRNA from 1 species